UUAUGGCUCAGGAUGAACGCUAGCUACAGGCUUAACACAUGCAAGUCAGGGGCAGCAUGGUCUUAGCUUGCUAAGGCUGAUGGCGACCGGCGCACGGGUGAGUAACGCGUAUCCAACCUUCCCCCUUAGUAGGGAAUAGCCCGGCGAAAGUCGGAUUAAUGCCCUAUGUUAUUCGUUGAGGACAUCUGAAGUGAAUCAAAGGUUUACCGCUAAGGGAUGGGGAUGCGUCUGAUUAGGUUGUUGGCGGGGUGACGGCCCACCAAGCCAUCGAUCAGUAGGGGUUCUGAGAGGAAGGUCCCCCACAUUGGUACUGAGACACGGACCAAACUCCUACGGGAGGCAGCAGUGAGGAAUAUUGGUCAAUGGGCGAGAGCCUGAACCAGCCAAGUAAGCGUGCAGGAUGACGGCCCUAUGGGUUGUAAACUGCUUUUGUACGGGAAUAAAGUGAGGGACGUGUCCCUUUUUGUAUGUACCGUAAGAAUAAGGACCGGCUAAUUCCGUGCCAGCAGCUGC
rnacentral:rRNA from 1 species